AAAGAGUGAAAAGAAAUGUAGAAAGCCUCCAAGAAAUAUGGGGUUAUGUGGAAAGACCUAAUCUAUGUUUGAUAGGUGUACCUGAAUGUGAUGGAGAGAAUAAAUUCAAGGUAGAAAACACUCUUCAAGAGAUGGAAAGAGCUUCUUUAUAUCUAUAUGGCAAAAGAAUAAAAUGGCAAUGUACUGUGUGAAAAUCAAUGUACAGUUUUGAAGCAGGUAAGAAGAAAAUUGCCUCAUACUUGGGUUUUACAGUGUUCAAAGCAAUUACCCAGUCAUAUCUCAUUUGAACCUACAUAUUCAAUAGAUGGGCAUACAUUUAUUGAGAACACACCAUUUUACAUUGUGUUAAUCUGAGUAAUAUAACUCAUGGAGAGUGUUCUCUUUGUUAGGUGAAUGCAAAUUACCUUUCAACUUAACCCAUUUUAAACUCAAUUACCAAGAAUAGUUCAAUUUCUGUGAUUUCAAAGAAAAAUACAUCAUAGUAGAAGCAAAUAUUCUCUAAGGACCUGUUUAGAAAUAAUUCUCAUUUAGUAUCUUGAGACUUGCCAAUUGUAGAAGUGCUGAUGUGCAAUGCAUCUCCAGUAGUGUGCCUAACACCACACUAAUAUCCUCAAGGUAAUUUAUUAUGUAUAGAGUCGCAAAAAGAAAGCUCUUAUCAGCACUGAGUUACUACUCAACAAAUAAAAAACAUUAAGUUCUCAGCCUAUUAUUAUAAUUAGUAUUGAUUUAAAAUUUGAUGUAUUUUUAAAAAUUGAUUUUAAACUUUAGAUAACAGAUAUUUUAAAGCAUUAAUUUUAGAAGAUAGAUUAAUUUGAAUCCUAUGAUAUGAAAUUUACAUGAUAUUGAUUUGAGUCCUACCAUCAUCUUGCUAUGGUAGUCUGAUAGUCAUUAUUUUUUUCCUACAAUCUUUGCUUUAUUUAAAAACACAUAUAUUUAGUAUUGGCUUUCUUGCAUAUACUACAAUAUUUUUAAAUUAUGCAUACUUGUAUUGAAUAAUUUUCUUCCAAUUAGG
rnacentral:lncRNA from 1 species